UUAACACAUGCAAGUCGAGGGGAAACGACAUCGAAAGCUUGCUUUUGAUGGGCGUCGACCGGCGCACGGGUGAGUAACGCGUAUCCAACCUGCCCACCACUUGGGGAUAACCUUGCGAAAGUAAGACUAAUACCCAAUGACGUCUCUAGAAGACAUCUGAAAGAGAUUAAAGAUUUAUCGGUGAUGGAUGGGGAUGCGUCUAAUUAGCUUGUUGGCGGGGUAACGGCCCACCAAGGCAACGAUCAGUAGGGGUUCUGAGAGGAAGGUCCCCCACAUUGGAACUGAGACACGGUCCAAACUCCUACGGGAGGCAGCAGUGAGGAAUAUUGGUCAAUGGACGAGAGUCUGAACCAGCCAAGUAGCGUGCAGGAUGAUGGCCCUAUGGGUUGUAAACUGCUUUUAUAAGGGAAUAAAGUGAGUCUCGUGAGACUUUUUGCAUGUACCUUAUGAAUAAGGACCGGCUAAUUCCGUGCCAGCAGCCGCGGUAAUACGGAAGGUCCGGGCGUUAUCCGGAUUUAUUGGGUUUAAAGGGAGCGUAGGCCGGAGAUUAAGCGUGUUGUGAAAUGUAGACGCUCAACGUCUGCACUGCAGCGCGAACUGGUUUCCUUGAGUACGCACAAAGUGGGCGGAAUUCGUGGUGUAGCGGUGAAAUGCUUAGAUAUCACGAAGAACUCCGAUUGCGAAGGCAGCUCACUGGAGCGCAACUGACGCUGAAGCUCGAAAGUGCGGGUAUCGAACAGGAUUAGAUACCCUGGUAGUCCGCACGGUAAACGAUGGAUGCCCGCUGUUGGUCUGAAUAGGUCAGCGGCCAAGCGAAAGCAUUAAGCAUCCCACCUGGGGAGUACGCCGGCAACGGUGCAACUCAAAGGA
rnacentral:rRNA from 1 species